GGUCGUUUAGCUCAGUUGGUUAGAGCGUGGUGCUAAUAACGCCAAGGUCGCGAGUUCGACCCUCGUAAUGACCA